rnacentral:rRNA from 1 species
AUUGAACGCUGGCGGCAGGCCUAACACAUGCAAGUCGAACGGUAACAGGAAACAGCUUGCUGUUUCGCUGACGAGUGGCGGACGGGUGAGUAAUGUCUGGGAAACUGCCUGAUGGAGGGGGAUAACUACUGGAAACGGUAGCUAAUACCGCAUAACGUCGCAAGACCAAAGAGGGGGACCCUCGGGCCUCUUGCCAUCGGAUGUGCCCAGAUGGGAUUCGCUUGUUGGUGGGGUAACGGCUAACCAAGGCGACGAUCCCUAGCUGGUCUGAGCGGAUGACCAGCCACACUGGAACUGAGACACGGUCCAGACUCCUACGGGAGGCAGCAGUGGGGAAUAUUGCGCAAUGGGCGCAAGCCUGAUGCAGCCAUGCCGCGUGUAUGAAGAAGGCCUUCGGGUUGUAAAGUACUUUCAGCGGGGAGGAAGGGAGUAAAGUUAAUACCUUUGCUCAUUGACGUUACCCGCAGAAGAAGCACCGGCUAACUCCGUG